GACGGAAGGUGCAAGCGUUGCUCGGAAUCACUGGGCGUAAAGGGUGCGUAGGCGGCCGUGCAAGUCUGGCGUGAAAGCCCCGGGCUCAGCCCGGGAAGUGCGCUCGAAACUGCGCGGCUCGAGUGCCGGAGGGGAGAGUGGAAUUCCUGGUGUAGCGGUGAAAUGCGUAGAGAUCGGGUGGAACACCAGGGGCGAAGGCGGCACC
rnacentral:rRNA from 1 species